rnacentral:rRNA from 1 species
GUACACUCCUGCGGGAGGCAGCAGUGGGGAAUAUUGCACAAUGGGCGCAAGCCUGAUGCAGCCAUGCCGCGUGUAUGAAGAAGGCCUUCGGGUUGUAAAGUACUUUCAGCGGGGAGGAAGGCAAUACGGUUAAUAACCGUGUUGAUUGACGUUACCCGCAGAAGAAGCACCGGCUAACUCCGUGCCAGCAGCCGCGGUAAUACGGAGGGUGCAAGCGUUAAUCGGAAUUACUGGGCGUAAAGCGCACGCAGGCGGUCUGUCAAGUCGGAUGUGAAAUCCCCGGGCUCAACCUGGGAACUGCAUUCGAAACUGGCAGGCUUGAGUCUUGUAGAGGGGGGUAGAAUUCCAGGUGUAGCGGUGAAAUGCGUAGAGAUCUGGAGGAAUACCGGUGGCGAAGGCGGCCCCCUGGACAAAGACUGACGCUCAGGUGCGAAAGCGUGGGGAGCAAACAGGAUUAGAAACCCGGGUAGUCCCAUGAU